rnacentral:rRNA from 1 species
GGGGGGGGCAAGCGUUGUUCGGAAUUACUGGGCGUAAAGGGCUCGUAGGCGGCCAACUAAGUCGGAUGUGAAAUCCCCAGGCUCAACUUGGGAACUGCAUCCGAUACUGGUUGGCUUGAAUCCGGGAGAGGGAUGCAGAAUUCCAGGUGUAGCGGUGAAAUGCGUAGAUAUCUGGAGGAAUACCGGUGGCGAAGGCGGCAUCCUGGACCGGCAUUGACGCUGAGGAGCGAAAGCCAGGGGAGCAAACGGGAUUAGAUACCCCGGUAGUCCUGGCCCUAAACGAUGAAUGUUUGGUGUGACGGGUAUCGAUCCCUGUCGUGCCGAAGCUAACGCAUUAAACAUUCCGCCUGGGGAGUACGGUCGCAAGGCUGAA